CCUAGCUUGCUAGGUGGAUUAGUGGCGAACGGGUGAGUAAUACGUGAGUAACCUACCUUUAACUCUGGGAUAAGCCUGGGAAACUGGGUCUAAUACCGGAUACGACCAAUCUCCGCAUGGGGUGUUGGUGGAAAGCGUUAUGUAGUGGUUAUAGAUGGGCUCACGGCCUAUCAGCUUGUUGGUGAGGUAACGGCUCACCAAGGCGACGACGGGUAGCCGGCCUGAGAGGGUGACCGGCCACACUGGGACUGAGACACGGCCCAGACUCCUACGGGAGGCAGCAGUGGGGAAUAUUGCACAAUGGGCGCAAGCCUGAUGCAGCGACGCCGCGUGAGGGAUGACGGCCUUCGGGUUGUAAACCUCUGUUAGCAGGGAAGAAGAGAGAUUGACGGUACCUGCAGAGAAAGCGCCGGCUAACUACGUGCCAGCAGCCGCGGUAAUACGUAGGGCGCGAGCGUUGUCCGGAAUUAUUGGGCGUAAAGAGCUUGUAGGCGGUUUGUCGCGUCUGCUGUG
rnacentral:rRNA from 1 species